UGGGGAAUAUUGCACAAUGGAGGGAACUCUGAUGCAGCGACGCCGCGUGAACGAAGAAGGCUUUCGAGUCGUAAAGUUCUUUUAUAUGGGAAGAUAAUGACGGUACCAUAAGAAAAAGCCCCGGCUAACUACGUGCCAGCAGCCGCGGUAAUACGUAGGGGGCUAGCGUUGUCCGGAAUCACUGGACGUAAAGGGUUCGCAGGCGGAAAUGCAAGUCAGGUGUAAAAGGCAGUAGCUUAACUACUGUAAGCAUUUGAAACUGCAUAACUUGAGAAGAGUAGAGGUAAGUGGAACUUUUAGUGUAGCGGUGAAAUGCGUAGAUAUUAAAAAGAAUACCGGUGGCGAAGGCGACUUACUGGGCUCAUUCUGACGCUGAGGAACGAAAGCGUGGGUAGCAAACAGG
rnacentral:rRNA from 1 species